UCCCUGGUGGUCCAGUGGUAAGACUCCACACUCCUAAUGCAGGGGGCCCAGGUUCAAUCCCUGGUCGGGGAA